rnacentral:rRNA from 1 species
GGAGUUAGCCGGUGCUUCUUCUGCGAGUAACGUCACAGCUAGCAGGUAUUAACUACUAACCUUUCCUCCUCGCUGAAAGUGCUUUACAACCCGAAGGCCUUCUUCACACACGCGGCAUGGCUGCAUCAGGGUUUCCCCCAUUGUGCAAUAUUCCCCACUGCUGCCUCCCGUAGGAGUCUGGGCCGUGUCUCAGUCCCAGUGUGGCUGAUCAUCCUCUCAGACCAGCUAGGGAUCGUUGCCUAGGUGAGCCAUUACCUCACCUACUAGCUAAUCCCACCUGGGCUUAUCCAUCAGCGCAAAGGACCGAAGUUCCCCUGCUUUCCCCCGUAGGGCGUAUGCGGUAUUAGCAGUCGUUUCCAACUGUUAUCCCCCACAAAUGGGCAAAUUCCCAGGCAUUACUCACCCGUCCGCCGCUCGUCAUCUUCAAAAGCAAGCUUUUGAAAUGUUAACCGCUCGACUUGCAUGUNUUAAGGCCUGCCGCCAAGCGUUCAAUCUGAGCCAUGAUCAAAACUCUGA